GACGAACGCUGGCGGCGUGCUUAACACAUGCAAGUCGAACGGUGAAGCGCCUUCCUUUUUGGUGGGUGUGGAUGAGUGGCGAACGGGCGAGUAACACGUGAGUAACCUGCCCCCUUCUUCUGGAUAACCGCAUGAAAGUGUGGCUAAUACGGGAUAUUCUGGGUCUGUCGCAUGAUGGGUCUGGGAAAGAUAUUGUUUCGGUGGGGGAUGGGCUCGCGGCCUAUCAGCUUGUUGGUGGGGUGAUGGCCUACCAAGGCGGUGACGGGUAGCCGGCCUGAGAGGGUGGACGGUCACACUGGGACUGAGACACGGCCCAGACUCCUACGGGAGGCAGCAGUGAGGAAUAGUGCACAAUGGGCGCAAGCCUGAUGCAGCGACGCCGCGUGAGGGAUGGAGGCCUUCGGGUUGUGAACCUCUUUCGCCAGUGAAGCAGGCCUGCCUCGUUUGUGGGUGGGUUGACGGUAGCUGGAGAAGAAGCGCCGGCUAACUACGUG
rnacentral:rRNA from 1 species